AUUGAACGCUGGCGGCAGGCCUAACACAUGCAAGUCGAACGAGUGGCGGACGGGUGAGUAAUGUCUGGGAAACUGCCUGAUGGAGGGGGAUAACUACUGGAACCGGUAGCUAAUCCCGCAUAGCAUCAGAGGUGCCCAGAUGGGCUUAGCUAGUUGGUGGGGUAACGGUUCACCAAGGCGACGAUCCCUAGCCGGUCUGAGAGGCUGACCAGCCACACUGGAACUGAGACACGGUCCAGACUCCUACGGGAGGCAGCAGUGGGGAAUAUGGCGCAAUGGGCGCAAGCCUGAUGCAGCCAUGCCGCGUGGAUGAAGAAGGCCUUCGGGUUGUAAAGUACUUUCAGCGGGGAGGCGUUACCCGCAGAAGAAGCACCGGCUAACUCCGUGCCAGCAGCCGCGGUAAUUC
rnacentral:rRNA from 1 species